rnacentral:rRNA from 1 species
GAGUUUGAUCCUGGCUCAGAGCGAACGCUGGCGGCGUGCUUAACACGUGCAAGUCGAACGCUGAACUCCCUGUAGCAAUACAGGGAGCUAGGCGUGGCGAACGGGUGAGUAACGCGUGGACAACCUGCCCGCGAGUGGGGGAUAACUCCGGGAAACUGGAGCUAAUACCGCAUAACGUCCCGAGGUCGUCGGAUCUUGGGAUCAAACCCGCAAGGGGCUCACGGAGGGGUCCGCGUCCGAUCAGCUAGUUGGUGAGGUAAUGGCUCACCAAGGCGGAGACCGGUAGCCGAUCUGAGAGGAUGGUCGGCCACACUGGGACUGAGACACGGCCUAGACUCCUACGGGAGGCAGCAGUGGGGAAUAUUGCGCAAUGGGCGAAAGCCUGACGCAGCAACGCCGCGUGAGUGAUGAAGGCUUUCGGGUCGUAAAGCUCUGUCAAGGGGAAAGAAGUGUAUUGCAGCUAAUAUCUGCGAUACUUGACGGUACCCCUAAAGGAAGCMCCGRMWARCUCCGUGCCAGCAGCCGCGGUAAUACAAGGGCGMUUWCA